rnacentral:rRNA from 1 species
GACGAACGCUGGCGGCGUGCCUAAUACAUGCAAGUUGAGCGCUGAAGGUUGGUACUUGUACCAACUGGAUGAGCAGCGAACGGGUGAGUAACGCGUGGGGAAUCUGCCUUUGAGCGGGGGACAACAUUUGGAAACGAAUGCUAAUACCGCAUAAAAACUUUAAACACAAGUUUUAAGUUUGAAAGAUGCAAUUGCAUCACUCAAAGAUGAUCCCGCGUUGUAUUAGCUAGUUGGUGAGGUAAAGGCUCACCAAGGCGAUGAUACAUAGCCGACCUGAGAGGGGGAUCGGCCACAUUGGGAAUGAGACACGGCCCAAACUCCUACGGGAGGCAGCAGGAGGGAAACUUAGGAAAUGGACGAAAGUCUGAACGAGCAACGCCGGGUGAGGGAAGAAGGGUUUCGGAUCGGAAAACUCGGUUGGUAGAGAAGAAAGGUGGUGAGAGUGGAAAGCUCAUCAAGUGACGGUAACUACACAGAAAGGGACGGCUAACUACGUG